GAUGAACGCUAGCGGGAGGCUUAAUACAUGCAAGUCGAGGGGUAACAUGAGUGCUUGCACUUGAUGACGACCGGCGCACGGGUGAGUAACGCGUACACAACCUACCUUUUAGUGGGGGAUAGCCUUUGGAAACGAAGAUUAAUACCCCAUAGUAUUGACAUAUUUAUGAUGAGUCAAUUAAAGCUCCGGCGCUAAAAGAUGGGUGUGCGUCCCAUUAGUUUGUUGGUAGGGUAACGGCCUACCAAGACUACGAUGGGUAGGGGGCGUGAGAGCGUGACCCCCCACACGGGUACUGAGACACGGACCCGACUCCUACGGGAGGCAGCAGUAAGGAAUAUUGGACAAUGGGCGAAAGCCUGAUCCAGCCAUCCCGCGUGCAGGAUGACGGCCCUAUGGGUUGUAAACUGCUUUUAGAUAGGAAGAAACCCUUUGAUUUUUCAGAGGCUGACGGUACUAUCAGAAUAAGCACCGGCUAACUCCG
rnacentral:rRNA from 1 species